GGGAGUACUUCUUCGGACAAUAGUACAAGGUGCUGCAUGGUUGUCGUCAGCUCGUGCCGUGAGGUGUCGGGUUAAGUCCCAUAACGAGCGCAACCCCUAUCAUUAGUUGCCAUCAGGUCAAGCUGGGGACUCUAAUGAAACUGCCUACGCAAGUAGUGAGGAAGGUGGGGAGUGACGUCAAAUCAUCAUGCCCCUUAUGAUCUGGGCUACACACGUGCUACAAUGGCCGGUACAACGGGCAGCGAAGGAGCGAUCCGGAGCGAAUCCUAAAAAGCCGGUCCCAGUUCGGAUUGCAGGCUGAAACUCGCCUACAUGAAGUUGGAGUUGCUAGUAAUCGCGAAUCAGAAUGUCGCGGUGAAUGCGUUCCCGGGUCUU
rnacentral:rRNA from 1 species